AGCAACAGUGCUUAAAGCCCUAAAAACGACGUCUCCCCCUCCUAUGCUCCCCUUCGCCAGAUUCCGCCGACCCAACGCCUCCACGACACUUCGCACCCGAGCUCACGGCGACCCGGAGUUCGCCGAAGCCUUCCAGUCCUCUACCCCUUAGCUACAGCGUCACCGGAGGCCCCUCUCUUCGGAUUUGUUGCUUCGUGCGAGGACCGUUGGGCAGGAGGAGCAGAGCUGAAGACCGGAGACGCUGAGGGUCGAAUCAUCAGAACCCUAAGCUCGAUCUCAGCUGAGGGUGCAUUCCAGACGGUGGUCACGACGUUUCCUAGCCCUAACGCCAAGCUACCUCUGUUGGAUGCUCUUCGUCACUUGAGAGGAGGCUGUCGCGAAGUGGCUUGCUGUGAGGGGCUCGGCCACAAUUCCCAUUAGCUGUUCUAUGUUUGGGAACCAUUAGCAAGGAGCACUAUGCUUGAGCCGGAAAUAACAUCUCCGGACAGUCAAUCUGAGGUAAGGUUAAGGACUUUGAUCGAGGCGAGUGUCGUGACGAAGUUGACGUCAGAUUCAGCCUACAUUUAGAGGC